AUUGAACGCUGGCGGCAUGCUUUACACAUGCAAGUCGAACGGUAACAGGCCUUCGGGUGCUGACGAGUGGCGAACGGGUGAGUAAUGCAUCGGAACGUGCCCAGAGGUGGGGGAUAACGCAGCGAAAGCUGUGCUAAUACCGCAUGUGAUCUGAGGAUGAAAGCGGGGGACCAGGCAGCAAUGUUUGGCCUCGCGCCUUUGGAGCGGCCGAUGUCAGAUUAGGUAGUUGGUGGGGUAAAGGCCUACCAAGCCGACGAUCUGUAGCUGGUCUGAGAGGACGACCAGCCACACUGGGAGUGAGACACGGCCCAGACUCCUACGGGAGGCAGCAGUGGGGAAUUUUGGACAAUGGGCGCAAGCCUGAUCCAGCAAUGCCGCGUGCGGGAAGAAGGCCUUCGGGUUGUAAACCGCUUUUGUACGGAACGAAAAGGCUCUGGCUAAUACCUGGGGCUGAUGACGGUACCGUAAGAAUAAGCACCGGCUAACUACGUG
rnacentral:rRNA from 1 species